rnacentral:pre_miRNA from 1 species
UUUAUACUCCCUCCGUCCAAAAAUACUUGUCACUAAAAUGGAUGUAUCUAGAUGUAUUUUAGUUGUAGAUACAUCUAUUUUGAUGACAAGUAUUUUCGGACGAGGGAGUAUAAA